GGGAGGCAGCAGUGGGGAAUAUUGGACAAUGGGCGAAAGCCUGAUCCAGCCAUGCCGCGUGUGUGAAGAAGGUCUUCGGAUUGUAAAGCACUUUAAGUUGGGAGGAAGGGUUGUAGAUUAAUACUCUGCAAUUUUGACGUUACCGACAGAAUAAGCACCGGCUAACUCUGUGCCAGCAGCCGCGGUAAUACAGAGGGUGCAAGCGUUAAUCGGAAUUACUGGGCGUAAAGCGCGCGUAGGUGGUUUGUUAAGUUGGAUGUGAAAUCCCCGGGCUCAACCUGGGAACUGCAUUCAAAACUGACUGACUAGAGUAUGGUAGAGGGUGGUGGAAUUUCCUGUGUAGCGGUGAAAUGCGUAGAUAUAGGAAGGAACACCAGUGGCGAAGGCGACCACCUGGACUAAUACUGACACUGAGGUGCGAAAGCGUGGGUAGCAAACAGGAUUA
rnacentral:rRNA from 1 species